AGCGCUUGGAGGAGGCGCCUUGCAACAGAUGGGUAAAGCCGGCUCCUCACUGAGUCCCGCACUGGCCGGCGGCGGCAGCGGCCGAGCCACUUGCAGGGAGGCAGAAAGGCGCGGCAGCUGUGUGGUCCUGCAGGCAGGCGGCGGAGCGGACCACCCCCAAGCCCUGCUCGGGGCGGUGAGGCGGCUGCCUGCCCCCAAGGUCCAGGGGCAGCUGGAGGUCGCUGUUCGCUCCCCCUGCUGCUGCUGGGGGCCAUCUCUGGCCGGCCCGCCUCCUCCCCCGGUGCAAUCUGCAAGUAAAGAGGAAAUAGAAGACAUUAACCCACCUGUUUGGAGAGAACGCAAAAUCAGCACAAUAUGGCACAGCCUAGCAUUGUUCUUGGAUUAUUCAUAAUGACUGUUUUAUCAAUGCUGUAUGGAAGUUCAGCUUUCCUAUUAAAUCAGCGUCUGAAGGGAAGAUUUCAAAGGGACCGCAGAAACAUCCGUCCAAACAUCAUUCUCAUUCUUACUGACGAUCAGGAUGUAGAACUUGGUAAGAGCCAGAGUAUUUUAGCUCACAGAUAUGGCAUUGCUUUUGCUUGGGGCUAGAUUCUGCUCUCAGACACUCUAGUGUAAAUGAACAUUUUGACCAGUGCAGCAGAGAACAGGAUCUAAUCCCUAACCUGCAAACAAUUUUUUUUCUGUGUGAAAUGUA
rnacentral:lncRNA from 1 species